rnacentral:rRNA from 1 species
CCUACGGGGGGCUGCAGUGAGGAAUAUUGGUCAAUGGCCGAGAGGCUGAACCAGCCAAGUAGCGUGCAGGAUGACGGCCCUAUGGGUUGUAAACUGCUUUUAUACGGGGAUAAAGUCAGCUACGUGUAGUUGUUUGCAGGUACCGUAUGAAUAAGGACCGGCUAAUUCCGUGCCAGCAGCCGCGGUAAUACGGAAGGUCCGGGCGUUAUCCGGAUUUAUUGGGUUUAAAGGGAGCGCAGGCCGUCUGUUAAGCGUGUUGUGAAAUGUAGGCGCCCAACGUCUGAAUUGCAGCGCGAACUGGCUGACUAGAGUACGCACAACGUUGGCGGAAUUUGCCGUGUAGCGGUGAAAUGCUUAGAUAUGGCGAAGAACUCCGAUUGCGAAGGCAGCUGACGGGAGCGCAACUGACGCUCAUGCUCGAAAGUGCGGGUAUCGAAC